rnacentral:rRNA from 1 species
GACGAACGCUGGCGGCGUGCUUAACACAUGCAAGUCGAACGGAAAGGCCCUGCUUUUGUGGGGUGCUCGAGUGGCGAACGGGUGAGUAACACGUGAGUAACCUGCCCUUGACUUUGGGAUAACUUCAGGAAACUGGGGCUAAUACCGGAUAGGAGCUCCUGCUGCAUGGUGGGGGUUGGAAAGUUUCGGCGGUUGGGGACGGACUCGCGGCUUAUCAGCUUGUUGGUGGGGUAGUGGCUUACCAAGGCUUUGACGGGUAGCCGGCCUGAGAGGGUGACCGGCCACAUUGUGACUGAGAUACGGCCCAGACUCCUACGGGAGGCAGCAGUGGGGAAUAUUGCACAAUGGGCGGAAGCCUGAUGCAGCAACGCCGCGUGCGGGAUGACGGCCUUCGGGUUGUAAACCGCUUUCGCCUGUGACGAAGCGUGAGUGACGGUAAUGGGUAAAGAAGCACCGGCUAACUACGUG